rnacentral:rRNA from 1 species
UGGGGAAUUUUGGACAAUGGGGGCAACCCUGAUCCAGCCAUGCCGCGUGAGUGAAGAAGGCCUUCGGGUUGUAAAGCUCUUUCAGACGGAAAGAAAUCGCAUCCUCUAAUACGGGGUGUGGAUGACGGUACCGUAAGAAGAAGCACCGGCUAACUACGUGCCAGCAGCCGCGGUAAUACGUAGGGUGCGAGCGUUAAUCGGAAUUACUGGGCGUAAAGCGUGCGCAGGCGGUGAUGUAAGACAGAUGUGAAAUCCCCGGGCUCAACCUGGGAACUGCGUUUGUGACUGCAUCACUCGAGUACGGCAGAGGGAGGUGGAAUUCCACGUGUAGCAGUGAAAUGCGUAGAGAUGUGGAGGAACACCGAUGGCGAAGGCAGCCUCCUGGGCCAGUACUGACGCUCAUGCACGAAAGCGUGGGGAGCAAACA